AUUGCCCUAGUAACGGCGAGUGAAGCGGCAACAGCUCAAAUUUGAAAUCUGGCGUCUCCGGCGUCCGAGUUGUAAUUUGUAGAGGAUGCUUCUGGGCAGCCACCGGUCUAAGUUCCUUGGAACAGGACGUCGCAGAGGGUGAGAAUCCCGUACGUGACCGGCCCGGCUCCCUCCACGUAGCUCCUUCGACGAGUCGAGUUGUUUGGGAAUGCAGCUCUAAAUGGGAGGUAAAUUUCUUCUAAAGCUAAAUACCGGCCAGAGACCGAUAGCGCACAAGUAGAGUGAUCGAAAGAUGAAAAGUACUUUGGAAAGAGAGUUAAAAAGCACGUGAAAUUGUUGAAAGGGAAGCGCUUGCAACCAGACUUGCCCGCGGCGUUCCGCCGGUCUUCUGACCGGUCUACUCGCCGCGUGCAGGCCAGCAUCACUUGGGGCCGCCGGACAAAGGUUGGUGGAAUGUAGCUCCCCUCGGGGAGUGUUAUAGCCACCGGCACAAUGCGGCGCGUCCCGAGUGAGGUCCGCGCUUCGGCCAGGAUGCUGGCGUAAUGGUUGUAAGCGGCCCGUCUUGAAACACGGACCAAGGAGUCUAACAUCUAUGCGAGUGUUCGGGUGUCAAACCCCUACGCGCAAUGAAAGUGAACGGAGGUGGGAACUUUACAGUGCACCAUCGACCGAUCCUGAUGUCUUCGGAUGGAUUUGAGUAAGA
rnacentral:rRNA from 1 species